rnacentral:rRNA from 1 species
CGGUGGAAAAGAAACUAACAAGGAUUCCCCUAGUAGCGGCGAGCGAAGCGGGAAGAGCCCAAUAUGAAAAGCCUGCUUGCAGGCGUUGUAUUUUGAGCGUUCUUGGGGUUUCAGCUUGGGCAAGUCGCAUGGAAAUGCGUACCGUGGAGGGUGAAAGUCCCGUCCAGCCCAAGCAGGAAAUUCUGUACUAGAGCGUUUCUAACGAGUCGGGUAGCUUGGGAAUGCUGCUCUAAUCGGUGGUAAAUCUCAUCGAAGGCUAAAUAACGGCUGGAGACCGAUAGCGAACAAGUACCGUGAGGGAAAGAUGAAAAGCACUUUGAAAAGAGGGUGAAAAGAACCUGAAACCGUCACGAGGGAAGCGAAUUGCGUUGUAAUGAUGGGUGCCUGUGUGUUCAGCCGGUAAAAUGGUGCAUUGACACGGGUUGCUUAUCCGUCGUGGGUUUCCUUGGAUGGAGGGUUUUACAUCCUUGGGGGCUGAGGGCUCCCCGAAUUUAUUUUUGGGUAGAGGACGACGGAGUGACGACGCGACUCGACCCGUCUUGAAACACGGACCAAGGAGUCUAGCGCGGCUGCAAGUCUAAGGGUGAAAAAAGCCUGUGGGCGUAGUGAAAGCGAUGUUUUAUGUGAGAACGAGCAGUUUGAGGCGGCAUUGAAUCGAGUAUUUAAAGUCCGACCUAGAGCAGUUGCGCUGGGACCCGAAAGAUGGUGAACUAUGCCGGAGUAGGGCAAAGCCAGAGGAAACUCUGGUGGAGGCUCGUAGCGGUGCUGACGUGCAAAUCGCUCGUCCAACUUGGGUAUAGGGGCGAAAGACUAAUCGAAUCAUCUAGUAGCUGGUUCCCUCCGAAGUUUCUCUCAGGAUAGCGGGCCGACAUGACGUUUCUGUGUGUGGUAAAGCGAAUGAUUAGCGCAAUUUGGGGACGGACAGUUUUCGGGCGGUUCUCAAACUUUAAAUGCGCAAGGGUGUCGCUGCUUGGUUGAGCGGCACCGCUAAGAACGUCGGCCCUGUGGGCCACUUUUGGUAAGCAGAACUGGCGAUACGGGAUGAACCGUAAGCAUGGUUAAGGCGCCAAACUGCCCGCUUAUAGACCCCACAAAAGGUGUUGAUUCAUCGAGACAGCAGGACGGUGGCCAUGGAAGUUGGCAUCCGCCAAGGAGUGUGUAACAACUCACCUGCCGAAUGGAUUAGCCCUGAAAAUGGAUGGCGCUGAAGCGGGCGGCCGACACCAUGCCGUCUGAACAACAGUUGUGUGUGUCAGAUGAGUAGGAGGGCGUGGGGGUUGUGUCGAAGCAUGCGUGCAAAUGUGUGUGGAACAGCCUCUAGUGCAGAUCUUGGUGGUAGUAGCAAGUAUUCAAGCGAGAACCUUGAAGGGCGAAGCGGGGAAGGGUUCCACGCGAACAUUGAUUGGGUGUGGGUGAGUCGUUCCUAAGCCGAGUGGCAAUUGCAAAAAGUAUCAGGCGAAAGGGAAGCGGGUUGAAAUUCUCGCACACGGAUGUGGAGGCGGUGACGCUUGUUUGGGGCAAAGACGCUGGCGAUGGCGCUGGGCAGAGUUUUCUUUUCUGUUUGACCGCGUUGUGUGCGCUGUGUGGAAUCCGCUUGUCGGGAGAAAUACGCGUAUACGGGCAGAGUGCCGGGGGUUAUCCGGCAUCCAGCUCGCCAUCGACGGCCCUUGAAAAUUUGUCUGCUGAAAUAAAUCCACGCCGUGGCGUACCGAUCACCGCAUCAGGUCCCCAAGGUGAACAGCCUCUGCUCAGUAUGAAAAAUGCAGGUAAGGGAAGUCGGCAAAUUAGACCCGUAACUUUGGGAAAAGGGUUGGCUCUAGUGCUGCGUAGGAGUGGUUGUCAGUUUUUUGGGUAUGUGCAGUGCGGCGGCUGGACAUGCGGGACCCGCAAGGGGCCUGUGUUUGAGGCUGCUGCUAUGUAUGUCUUCGGAGGCCGACGACGCCUACGGCAAGCGGCAGACUAGAACUGCAACGGGCAAAGGGAAUCCGACUGUUUAAUUAAAACAAAGCAUUGCGAGGGCCGAGGACGGUGAUAACGCAAU